UACGGGGGGGGCAAGCGUUGUUCGGAAUUACUGGGCGUAAAGGGCUCGUAGGCGGCCAACUAAGUCAUACGUGAAAUCCCUCGGCUUAACCGGGGAACUGCGUCUGAUACUGGAUGGCUAGAGAUUGGGAGAGGGAUGCGGAAUUCCAGGUGUAGCGGUGAAAUGCGUAGAUAUCUGGAGGAACACCGGUGGCGAAGGCGGCAUCCUGGACCAACACUGACGCUGAGGAGCGAAAGCCAGGGGAGCAAACGGG
rnacentral:rRNA from 1 species